GGAGAGAUGGCCGAGAGGUUUAAAGCGGCGGAUUGCUAAUCCGUUGUACAACUUAUACGUACCGAGGGUUCGAAUCCCUCUCUCUCCU
rnacentral:tRNA from 1 species